AGUACCCUCUCCCUCGUAUGUAUCACAGCUAGCUAGGUUUUCAGCAUUCCCUACCUUGCCAAAAACCCAACCUUUUUACAGCUUUCCCUUUUGGUUUCAGCGUCAAUUUUGGAUCUCCUUCUCCCUCCUUCUGCAUGGUCUGCCUCCUGUCUGUGGUUGCCGCUCGUGCUUCGCCUCAACGCUACAAACCUCACUCUAUCAGACCUUCAAACCUCUGUUCUCAGACAGCCAACGCUCUAGUCUCCACUCUUGCACCUCAGACCACCUCCACCAUCAUGACUCGCACUCCAGGUAACAGCUCUCACUCGCGAACAACUGCUCUGCCUCCUGCAUGUGGGUGCCUCCACCGGUCUCCAAACCCGCACCCCCGCCAGCCUCAAACACCGCAGCUGAGGCGACCUCCACCCUCUAGCUUUGCUAGAUUGACCUUGCCUCCUUCUUCCCUUUAUGCGUGCUCUGUCAGGUUCUAACUUUUAUUUUUAACUAGGAACCUUCUAACUGGACCACUGCCCGAUUAGAUACCAGAUUUUGUGAACUUGUUUGCAUCCAAAGACAAUCUAAAUAUUGAGCAAGAACUUCACAUGUGGAAAGAAAAGACAAAGGAGCAAGAAAUGAUCAAUGAAGAGCAAAAGGUUAAGUUGAAUGAUGUUGAGCAUAAGUUAAAGGAUCAAGGAGUCAACUAAAAGCUCAACAAAAAAGAAUUGCUUCUACUGAAAAGAAACUUCAUGCUUUGUAUAAAAAGUUGAAUCUCCUACU